GCCUGGGUAGUCUAGGUGGUCAGGGCACCACGUUGUGGCCGUGGAAACCCCGGUUCGAGUCCGGGCCCAGGCA
rnacentral:tRNA from 6 species